CUCCCGUCAUCUCCACAUGAUUCUCGCAUAUCGUUGUAUUGGCUUGAGUUUGUGGUACCUGCAGUUUAUAAAGGAACUUAAUCAUCUUGUCAGGAUUCCAUGCCCUUUUCUCUUGAGCUGAUUUACUGCUUAAUAUCUGAUGGGUAAUGCCUUAUUUUGGUUGAAAUUUAUAUUGUUUUAUCACACCAUUGGCAAUUCUGUACCAAUAACAGGAAUUUACUUUGCAGGAUAUAUAUCUGUGACAUUUGUUCUUAUUGGGGUGUCAAUGCUGGCGAUGAAAAGAUUAUUAAUGCUCUUAUUGGGGUGUCAGUGUUGGAAGCUGCUCAUGAGAAAUAUAACUUGAAGGAGCUAAUUUUGUGACCUACAGAGGAGCUAAUUCUGUAGCAUGAUCUACGAUUUCUGCUUCAAAGCUCAACUUGUCGAGUCAACAAAUGUUCACUUUCAGAUCGGCCGAUGAGGUGGAUUGCCUGGAGGCGGUGGACCAUGGAGGAAAGGAGGCCAUCCAUGGUGCACGCAUCCCCCACACUCGCUCGUCUUUUCCUCCUCCGCUCCACGGACACCGUGUGCUCGGGCAUGGCCGCCGCCACGCCCCCGCUCCCGCUGACCUUCAUCAAAAGCGGAUAACUGAGGGCUCUUCUGUUAUCAAGCUGCUUCUUUUUUGUGCCAAUAGUUGCAAGUUAAUUUAUUAAUAGUUGGAUACGGGCAUAUCUCAGAUUUUGAGAUUGGACAAAAUAAUGAAUUAAAUGGUAACUAGAGGAAAACAAUUGCUCCUGAUACAUCAUAUCUGUAUGAUAUUGUUGCUAUAAGUCUCAGGAGGCAUGCAUACCGAGGCCUGUACACCACAUAAACAUUAGUCAUUUAGUUUUCUUUCUUCGGAGUGCUAUUUCUCUGUUUCUUUCCUAAUAGUGGAACAAAAUUACCAUUUCUUGCGUGUCAUCUCACAAGGAGGAUGUCGGGCUGCCCAUUUUAGUGCACCAUGCCACAAGUUCCAGAAAAUUAUUUUGUCUCCUGAUUAAUGAUUUUGCGACUACUUUCAUUUAACAAGGCUUAUGUGUGCAUAAGUUUGUUACUGAAUCUGGGAGAUGUAGCUAAGUAUAUAAAAAAUGUGCUUCUUUGCAUUAGGCAGAUGGAACUAUUCAGUUUAUACUUGUUGUUAAUCUUCUGUGUAUUGUGUAUGGUGCAUUCCUUAUUUGGUUUACACACCACAGUGGUAACUUGCAUUUUGUCAAGGAGGUUUGGUUCUAUUUUUUUUUUUGUGAAAACAUUAGUUCUCGACUUCAAUGCCAUCUUUCGUUGUUACAGGUAUAAAGCCUUGUUUUACUAUCCUCAGGAUAAACAUGUUUCAGAUACUAAACAAUGGAACAUCCAUGCCCUUUUGUGAUGUUAACCAUGUUAACCAUCUUACGCCAGGGCUGACGAGGAAGAGGACCGGCGGAGUGGGGUUCGACAAGGUGGCGGUGGUUACUUUGUAUCUCCCGUUGGUUUGUGGUUACGUAAUUCCCAUAGCUGUAACUUUUGCACAAUCAUAAGGCCUUUAUAGAAUGCUAAAAGCUUCAGACCUUUGCAUCGGUACUUCCGCUGAACUGAACUUCUGUAGAAUACAUCAACCAAAGCUUACUCUUAGAUAUUUAGUUUAAGUUAAAUUUGCUCCGAGUAAUAAAGAAUAUUGGGCCUCUACAAGAAAAGUAAGAAUCUGAAUCCGUAAGUAAUUAUAACCACUCAAGUGUGAUCUUCUCGUGUUGCUUAAAUUUCUAGCUAAGAUAUCUUUUUGAUGCAGAUUGCCAGGUUCUGUUCUCACAUAAAACACCCAGUUUUGCUAGAAGCUCUGCUUACUUUGAUGUACAUCUCUUUUUCUGAAAAAUUCACUAACAGUUUGUUUUGCUGAACAUCUUAGGUCAACUGGAUUCCAUCUCAAUUUAUGUAAAUCUCUUUCCUAAAAAGGUCAGUGACAAGGUGGUGUGAAGUGAGGAGACGUAGAGAUGGAUGAGGACGAUGGCAGUAAGUAGUAGCAGCUCGACGGCAGGAAGCAGCAGCUCGCCCUCUCCUAGGUCUUCAUCUCUGCCCUUAGUCUACCUAUACUUAGCUUCUUUGCUCCCACUCCUGUUCCUCCCUCUUUCUUAUAUAGGUUUCCAUCUAAUGGCAGCUCUCUCUCCCUUUUCCAUCUCUGUUUUGUAGAUAGCAGAGCAACCUAUCAUAUAUACACACUGAAAUUGAUUCUGUUGUAAGCUUAUUCAGAUUUUAUUUAUUUCUUAUUGAUUCAUCAAGGAAUGGUUGUAAAUAUUUCAUAUGACUACAUCAAAGAGAGCAAGAAAUCCUGAUGUUAUAGCAUACGCUCAUAUUGAUGUACAUGAGUGAGACUGAGGACCAAACAUGUUAAUUGAAUGUGUCAAUAUAAGAUAAGUGCGCACAGUCCCGUCUCAAGAGGCGCCACCAGGUGGCGCCCCAGCCUCUAGUUUUCACGAAGAGCCGACAGUGACACGGGUUUCAUGUACAACGCUCAAAAAGAAUCAGGCGGACUAGAAUGGAAAACUGUCUGCGAUAGAAUCCCUGAGAGCCACUGCUACUGAAGGGCUCCUAUACAUGUGCACUCUACUUAAGGGCCUACAGAAGGGUCUGGUCUGGCGUGUUGGAAACGUGUAGAAUAUUGAUGUUUUGCACGAUCCUCGUGGACUCAUAAUACGGCCGGGCUCAGUUCAUGAUCUGAGGGCCAGUUUGCUUUAAAAUAUUUGUAAACUUUCCAAUGGAAUGUCCAUUCCAUAGUUUUCAGUUCCUUCGGUGGUGUUUGGAUCAAGGGAAUCAACUACAACAUUCCUAUGGAAAGGUUCGUAAACAGUGGCCAUUUUACAAGAAUCUACAAUCUGAUCUGAGCCAAUUUUUGGGCGGAGGCCCAAGGCAAGCCAUGGCCGAAGCCAAAUAAAAAAAAAAUCCUUUCGCAUGGGUGGGAGAGAAGCAAGACCUGCAUGCAGCGAUUAGAAUACUUAGUGCCUGAAUAAAGUAGGCAUAGUGUUGCAUCUGUAGUACGGCUCCUUUGCUCACACCUCUAGGCAAUUUCCUAUGAACCCAACACCUCUAUUCCUCUAUUUCCUAUGAAUG